rnacentral:tRNA from 3 species
GCCGGGGUGGCGGAAUGGUAGACGCGAUAGACUCAAAAUCUAUUAAUCGCAAGAUCGUGAGGGUUCGACUCCCUCCCCCGGCACUA